AACGAACGCUGGCGGCAUGCCUAACACAUGCAAGUCGAACGAGACCUUCGGGUCUAGUGGCGCACGGGUGCGUAACGCGUGGGAACCUGCCCUUAGGUUCGGAAUAACUCCCCGAAAGGGGUGCUAAUACCGGAUAAUGUCUUCGGACCAAAGAUUUAUCGCCUUUGGAUGGGCCCGCGUUGGAUUAGCUAGUUGGUAGGGUAAAAGCCUACCAAGGCGACGAUCCAUAGCUGGUCUGAGAGGAUGAUCAGCCACACUGGGACUGAGACACGGCCCAGACUCCAACGGGAGGCAGCAGUGGGGAAUAUUGGACAAUGGGCGAAAGCCUGAUCCAGCAAUGCCGCGUGAGUGAUGAAGGCCUUAGGGUUGUAAAGCUCUUUUACCCGGGAUGAUAAUGACAGUACCGUGAGAAUAAGCUCCGGCUAACUCCGUG
rnacentral:rRNA from 1 species